rnacentral:rRNA from 1 species
GGUCAAGCGAACAAGUGCAUGUGGUGGAUGCCUUGGCGAUCACAGGCGAUGAAGGACGCGGUAGCCUGCGAAAAGCGGUGGGGAGCUGGCAAACAAGCUUUGAUCCACCGAUAUCCGAAUGGGGAAACCCACUCCGUAUGGAGUAUCCAUGACUGAAUACAUAGGUCAUGUGAAGCGAACGCGGCGAACUGAAACAUCUAAGUAGCCGCAGGAAAAGAAAUCAACCGAGAUUCCCAAAGUAGUGGCGAGCGAAAUGGGAUCAGCCUGUACUCUUUAUCUUCGUUGUUAGCCAAACGCUCUGGAAAGUGCGGCCAUAGUGGGUGAUAGCCCCGUAGGCGAAAACAGCGAGGAAGAACUAGGUGUACGACAAGUAGGGCGGGACACGUGAAAUCCUGUCUGAAGAUGGGGGGACCAUCCUCCAAGGCUAAAUACUCGUGAUCGACCGAUAGUGAACCAGUACCGUGAGGGAAAGGCGAAAAGAACCCCGGGAGGGGAGUGAAAUAGAUCCUGAAACCGCAUGCAUACAAACAGUCGGAGCCUCGCAAGGGGUGACGGCGUACCUUUUGUAUAAUGGGUCAGCGACUUACAUUCAGUGGCAAGCUUAACCGAAUAGGGCAGGCGUAGCGAAAGCGAGUCCGAACAGGGCGUUCAGUCGCUGGGUGUAGACCCGAAACCAGGUGAUCUAUCCAUGGCCAGGUUGAAGGCACGGUAACACGUGCUGGAGGACCGAACCCACUAACGUUGAAAAGUUAGGGGAUGAGCUGUGGAUAGGGGUGAAAGGCUAAACAAACCUGGAAAUAGCUGGUUCUCUCCGAAAACUAUUUAGGUAGUGCCUCGUGUAUCACCUUCGGGGGUAGAGCACUGUCAUGGUUGAUGGGUCCAUUGCGGAUUACGUCGCCAUAGCAAACUCCGAAUACCGAAGAGUGCAAUCACGGGAGACAGACAUCGGGUGCUAACGUCCGGUGUCAAGAGGGAAACAACCCAGACCGCCAGCUAAGGUCCCCAAAUAUGGCUAAGUGGGAAACGAAGUGGGAAGGCUAAAACAGUCAGGAGGUUGGCUUAGAAGCAGCCACCCUUUAAAGAAAGCGUAAUAGCUCACUGAUCGAGUCGUCCUGCGCGGAAGAUGUAACGGGGCUAAGCCAUAUACCGAAGCUGCGGAUGCACAUUUAUGUGCAUGGUAGGAGAGCGUUCUGUAAGCCUGCGAAGGUGCGUUGAAAAGCGUGCUGGAGGUAUCAGAAGUGCGAAUGCUGACAUGAGUAGCGAUAAAGGGGGUGAAAGGCCCCCUCGCCGUAAGCCCAAGGUUUCCUACGCAACGUUCAUCGGCGUAGGGUGAGUCGGCCCCUAAGGCGAGGCAGAAAUGCGUAGCUGAUGGGAAGCAGGUCAAUAUUCCUGCACCAUUGUUGAAUGCGAUGGGGGGACGGAUCGCGGAAGGUUGUCCGGGUGUUGGAAGUCCCGGUCCUUGCAUUGGAGAAGGCGCUUUGGCAAAUCCGGGCGCGGAAUUCAAGGGUGCGAGGCCAUGCUCUUCGGAGCAGAAGCAACUGGAAGUGGUUCCAAGAAAAGCCUCUAAGCUUCAGUUCAACAGUGACCGUACCGCAAACCGACACAGGUGGGCGAGAUGAGUAUUCUAAGGCGCUUGAGAGAACUCGGGAGAAGGAACUCGGCAAAUUGGUACCGUAACUUCGGGAUAAGGUACGCCCUUGUAGCUUGACUGGCCUGCGCCAGGAGGGUGAAGGGGUUGCAAUAAACUGGUGGCUGCGACUGUUUAAUAAAAACACAGCACUCUGCAAACACGAAAGUGGACGUAUAGGGUGUGACGCCUGCCCGGUGCCGGAAGAUUAAAUGAUGGGGUGCAAGCUCUUGAUUGAAGUCCCGGUAAACGGCGGCCGUAACUAUAACGGUCCUAAGGUAGCGAAAUUCCUUGUCGGGUAAGUUCCGACCUGCACGAAUGGCGUAACGAUGGCCACACUGUCUCCUCCCGAGACUCAGCGAAGUUGAAGUGUUUGUGAUGAUGCAAUCUCCCCGCGGCUAGACGGAAAGACCCCAUGAACCUUUACUGUAGCUUUGCAUUGGACUUUGAACCGGUUUGUGUAGGAUAGGUGGGAGGCUGUGAAG